GAUGAACGCUGGCGGCGUGCCUAAUACAUGCAAGUCGAGCGAACAGACGAGGAGCUUGCUCCUCUGACGUUAGCGGCGGACGGGUGAGUAACACGUGGAUAACCUACCUAUAAGACUGGGAUAACUUCGGGAAACCGGAGCUAAUACCGGAUAAUAUAUUGAACCGCAUGGUUCAAUAGUGAAAGACGGUUUUGCUGUCACUUAUAGAUGGAUCCGCGCCGCAUUAGCUAGUUGGUAAGGUAACGGCUUACCAAGGCGACGAUGCGUAGCCGACCUGAGAGGGUGAUCGGCCACACUGGAACUGAGACACGGUCCAGACUCCUACGGGAGGCAGCAGUAGGGAAUCCUCCGCAAUGGGCGAAAGCCUGACGGAGCAACGCCGCGUGAGUGAUGAAGGUCUUCGGAUCGUAAAACUCUGUUAUUAGGGAAGAACAAAUGUGUAAGUAACUAUGCACGUCUUGUCGGUACCUAAUCAGAAAGCCACGGCUAACUACGUG
rnacentral:rRNA from 1 species